CGAAAGCCUGAUCCAGCCAUGCCGCGUGUGUGAAGAAGGCUUUCGGGUUGUAAAGCACUUUCAGCGAGGAAGAAGGCCUCUGGGUUAAUACCCCAGAGGAAGGACAUCACUCGCAGAAGAAGCACCGGCUAACUCCGUGCCAGCAGCCGCGGUAAUACGGAGGGUGCGAGCGUUAAUCGGAAUUACUGGGCGUAAAGCGCGCGUAGGUGGCUUGGCACGCCGGUUGUGAAAGCCCCGGGCUCAACCUGGGAACGGCAUCCGGAACGGCCAGGCUAGAGUGCAGGAGAGGAAGGUAGAAUUCCCGGUGUAGCGGUGAAAUGCGUAGAGAUCGGGAGGAAUACCAGUGGCGAAGGCGGCCUUCUGGCCUGACACUGACACUGAGGUGCGAAAGCGUGGGUAGCAAACAGGAUUAGAUACCCUGGUAGUCCACGCCGUAAACGAUGUCGACUAGCCGUUGGGACCUUUAAGGACUUAGUGGCGCAGUUAACGCGAUAAGUCGACCGCCUGGGGAGUACGGCCGCAAGGUUAAAACUCAAAUGAAUUGACGGGGGCCCGCACAAGCGGUGGAGCAUGUGGUUUAAUUCGAUGCAACGCGAAGAACCUUACCUACCCUUGACAUCCAGAGAACUUUCC
rnacentral:rRNA from 1 species